rnacentral:rRNA from 1 species
UACGAAGGGGGCUAGCGUUGCUCGGAAUCACUGGGCGUAAAGCGCACGUAGGCGGACUCUUAAGUCGGUGGUGAAAUCCUGGAGCUCAACUCCAGAACUGCCUUCGAUAACUGAGAGUCUCGAGUCCGGGAGAGGUGAGUGGAACUGCGAAGUGUAGAGGUGAAAUUCGUAGAUAGUUCGCAAGAACACCAGUGGCGAAGGCGGCUCACUGGCCCGGGUACUGACGCUGACGGUGCGAAAGCGUGGGGAGCCAAACAGGGAUUAAGAAACCCCCAG